UUGAAGAUUGAAAGAUGAAUUGGAAACCCUGCAUCUUUUCUUGAACGUGGGUGUGGAGAUCAAUUUUUGAUCUUUUUGUGAGCUGCUUGGUCUCAGUGUCUCUCUCUGCUUAUUUGAGUUCAACCUCUAACUUGCUGCACCGGUUUUGAGUUAGUAGAGAAUGGAAGGAGAGCAACAAUCCAUCUUUUGGCAGUGAGGUUGAAACAUAGAGGAGAUUGGAAGCUACCAACGUCAACUUCAAAUUUCUGGAAAUUCUAAAGCCUUGAAUUUGAGCAGAGGAAGAAAAGGAGAAUUCCGGCGACAUCGUUCGAUUUUCCGACAAUGUUAUUGGAAUCUCCUGCUAAGGCCCAUCGAGGACUUGGAUGUUUGGCGAAGGCUGUAGCUGAGCAAAAGCAAAAUCGUGAAUUGAGCAUUGGCUGCACAUUAUUUCACGUAGGGUGAG